rnacentral:pre_miRNA from 1 species
UUUCUGAAAUUGCAUAGUAAGCAUGCUGGGAUAGCAUAGUAAGCAUGCUAUCCCAGCAUGCUUACUAUGCAAUUUCAGAAA